rnacentral:rRNA from 1 species
UAAGGAAUAUUGGUCAAUGGACGCAAGUCUGAACCAGCCAUGCCGCGUGAAGGAUGAAGGUCCUCUGGAUUGUAAACCUCUUUUAUCUGGGACGAAAACGGGAUUUUUAUCUCAAUUGACGGUACCAGAGGAAUAAGCACCGGCUAACUCCGUGCCAGCAGCCGCGGUAAUACGGAGGGUGCGAGCGUUAUCCGGAUUUACUGGGUUUAAAGGGUGCGUAGGUGGGCUUAUAAGUCAGUGGUGAAAUCUCCGAGCUUAACUUGGAAACUGCCGUUGAUACUAUAGGUCUUGAAUUAUCUGGAGGUAAGCGGAAUAUGUCAUGUAGCGGUGAAAUGCUUAGAUAUGACAUAGAACACCAAUUGCGAAGGCAGCUUACUACAUAUAAAUUGACGCUGAGGCACGAAAGCGUGGGGA